rnacentral:rRNA from 1 species
UACGUAGGGUGCGAGCGUUAAUCGGAACUACUGGGCGUAAAGGGUGCGUAGGCGGUUGUUUAAGUCUGUCGUGAAAUCCCCGGGCUCAACCUGGGAAUGGCGAUGGAUACUGGGCAGCUAGAGUGUGUCAGAGGAUGGUGGAAUUCCCGGUGUAGCGGUGAAAUGCGUAGAGAUCGGGAGGAACAUCAGUGGCGAAGGCGGCCAUCUGGGACAACACUGACGCUGAAGCACGAAAGCGUGGGGAGCAAACAGG